rnacentral:lncRNA from 7 species
GGGGCGGCCCCGGCCCCCUCCUCUUCCCGUGCCCGUGCCGGGGCCGGGCACCCCGCGGCCGGGCGGCGGGCCCCGAACGGAGCGAGCUGCGGGCAGGUCAGUGUCGGGCGCGGGGCCGCGGCCGGGGGAGGCCGGCACGACUGCGGGAGGGGCCGGCGCCGGGCGCUCGGGAGGGGAGGGAGCCGCCCGUGGGAUCCGCCGGGAAUGCCGGCGGCGGACGGCGGGGGGCCGCCGGAGGGGGCCGCGCGGGUCGGGGAUGCGGGGAUGGUGCACGGUUUGCUGCCGGAGGAGGUUUCUGGGUACUUCUCGCAGCAGAUCCAGCCCCAAUUUGCCUCAGCUGCGGCCUUAUUGCGCUCAGUCCCUACACAGCUGUGAGACCUCCAGCAAUGAGAUGCCCCGGUGCUUCUGAAGACCACUCUGGCAUCUGCCUACACUUCAAGAUAGCAGAUUGGGUGAGCCAUGAGCAAGGACGAGUUGGAAUGAGCCAAGCUCCUGUACACCCUCAAGCGCUAAAAAGCAGGGUAUGAGAGGUGGGAAAAACAUCUCCAGGUAAUUCUGAGUUCCUCCUAAGAGAGAGUAGAAAGGGCUCUGCCAGGGGCUGGAAGGUGGUGGUAGGAGACUGGAGGUGCUGAGGGUUUGUAUGAGGGCUGGCAAGCUGAGGGGGUGAUGCAUGGGACUUAGAAGUGGCUGGCCAAAGAUCACAGGGCACCAGUGCAGCUGGGAUCCCAGCUCCCAGUGACCCUGGGCUUGGGACCGCUGCGCUGGAGGACUUGGCUGCAGCAGGCCAGUGUGGGCUCAACGUAGCUCUGGUUUGGAGCAGAGUCUCUGUCAUUAGAGAUAUUCAGGCCUUUCUUGGACACGGCCCUGAGCAACUUCCUGUAGGUCACCUGCCUUGAGCAGGGAGGUUGAGCAGGAUGGUCUCCAGAGGUGCCUCCUAGCCUCAGCAUUUCUGUGAUUGUUUGUCGCAUCUUCUGAGAAAUUUGGUUGCCAUGGUGCGAUCCCCAAAGUAGUGUCAGAGAAACAACCAGAAAUGGGGAUGGUUGUCUAGUUCCCCUGAGCCUGCAAGCAGCAGUCUCUACAUCAGUAAGAGAUUGCCAGGGCUUGCAGGUUCUGGGCUGGGAACAUACACAGUUCCUUGUGUUUCUGGGCUGUUUUCCUCGAGGAGAGGACACAACUGACAGAACUACAUAGAAGUGGCAAAAAAAGGCAGAAGAACGAGCUGUGCUUCUUAGACUCAAGAGUAAGUUUGUUUGUGCCUUGCUUGGCUCUCAGCCUACUGCUGAAUAGGAUGGAGGGGUCAAAGUCACGGUUUAAAUGAACGAUCAGAAAGCACUGCUAGAAUUGCCUCGUUGUAAUCUUGCUGUGUUUAUGGAUUGCUGCCGUUUGCCUAAGGACAAGCUGAUCCUUGGUGAUGAGUGUAAGCUGUGGUACUUCUGGCUGAGCAGGGCGCUGCGCCGUGCUGAAGUGAGUGAGGUUACAGCAUGACAGGCAUUUGUUUCAAUUCUUAAUGCCUGUAGUUCUUAUAUUAGAAGACAGUGAGCGACACAUUUCCCCAUUGGAUUUCACUUCAUUAUUUAUUAUGAAUUUCUUCCAACUGUAUUUCAGUGGAAAAUGAAUUUUGAUUCCAAAUGCUGAGAGCGAACAUUUCAGAAGUGGUUCCCAGUUAGCUGAAUAAAACUGCUUAAAAUCUGUGUCCAGCACAAAAAAUGUUAUGAAAGCAUUAUUUGUAAAUACAGUGAAUUUACCAAUAAUGACUCCACGGUAGGAGCAGAAUUUUAUUAGAACUUAGGCGGAAUAGAAAAUAACCAGGAUAUGACCCGAUUGCUUUAUGGGAACUCAGAACUAGCAGAGGUUACCCUCUCACACCUCAUUUUUACUGGGAUUGGAAAGGGAAGCAGGCACUGCUGCUCGAUCUCACUGGAAUUCUGUGAACGUUUAAUACCCUUAUUUCUGUACUCAAAUAAUUGCUCUUUUUUUUCUUUCCCCUCUGCUUAUUAUUAUAUAUAAAGAGAAGUUGUGCAGCUCAUCAGGUGUUAUUUCCAGCUGCUCAGCCAGCGAGCAUCUCUCUGAUAACAAGAACGUACUGUGUGCAUUCCUACUUAUUCUUCCCAGACGAGAGUGAGCUGAAGUCUUAGCAUGUCGGUUGUUACCAUUUCAGCUUUUAAAUUGGUUUUCAGUUCGGGCAACAUUUGAUUACUUUUUUUUUUGUCAGAUAUGUGUUUCAGAAAGCCAUAAUUCUUUUAUUUGUUCUGGUUCCAAGUCCUCUUUAUUGCUUUUUUUCCUUUCAUAUUGCGCUGCUACUAAUCUGAUCAGGCACUUUCAUUGGAUUCUUCUGUUGGGAGCUUUUCAUCAAGUUUUUCAUUCUUUCAUCCAAGUUUUUAAUUUCUUCUGUUUUCUUUCGUGACGUUUCAUCAAAUUCUUCCUUGUUCAGAAGCAAAACAAAGUGAAUUACACUCAUAGAAGCUCGGGUGGUUGUGCCACCUCUUGAGAAUGUCACAUUUUAAGGACUUCCAGGUUAGCUCAGUUGUGGCAGGGAGGUCGGGGGGGUGUGUGUGUUUCUGUGCAGUUAAACCAAGUCAUACAAAAACCCAGUAAUGGGACUUAGAAAGAGUAUUGCUGAAUGUUUCCAUGCCAUAAUUACCAUGCAAUUUCUUCUACAUGUACCGCUAUUGCCUACAACUGUCCUAGUGUUCAGGGUAAUAGUUAGGUUUCAGGGUUAGUUCAUCCCAGCAGCUAUGUUUGAGGGGAAUUCCUCUAACUCCCAGUUUAUUCAGACAGUUCCUGCAGCUGAAUUUCCGAGGUUUCUUUCCAUC